rnacentral:rRNA from 1 species
AACGUAGGAGACGAGCGUUAUCCGGAUUUACUGGGCGUAAAGCGCGUGCAGGCGGCACGGAAAGUUGGAUGUGAAAGCUCCCGGCUUAACUGGGAGAGGUCGUUCAAAACUACCGAGCUAGAGUAUGGGAGAGGGAAGCGGAAUUCCGGGUGUAGUGGUGAAAUGCGUAGAUAUCCGGAGGAACACCAGUGGCGAAAGCGGCUUCCUGGCCCGAGACUGACGCUCAGACGCGAAAGCUAGGGUAGCAAACGGG